AUUAAGCACAGACACAUUUACACACACACACACAAGGGAUUGUCAGGUCUGAGGAGCAUUGCAGGAAAUCAGGGAACAGGAAGCAGCCAAGAAUACAUAAGCAGGUAGCUACCAGACAAGAUCACAAAGAAAAUCAAUCACAAAGAAGAUAAUCACCUAUGUAAUUCCUAAAUGUGCUUAGGAAGAACAAUUUAUGCUUAAAACAACUCAGGAUUAGAAGAUGCAAGUUAAAAAAGGGCAAGAGUACUUCUGUGAAAGUCGAAUUCCGAUACCAUCUGCUCUUGAAGUGCUUUGAGACUUGAGAAGUUAAGCAGUGCUGGCAAUUAAAGUCUAUCCUGAAAGUGGCUACAUCAACACUAUGAAUAAAGCAGAGUGCUGAAGCACUUGUAGAAGCAAGUGCAGGCCUUAAAGAAAGAGGAAUGUCAUCCUAAUCCACCUAAAGAAAAAGAAAAACA